rnacentral:piRNA from 1 species
UGAUGUGUCCGCCUUCUGAACAAAGAUU